CACUCCUACGGGAGGCAGCAGUGGGGAAUAUUGCACAAUGGGCGCAAGCCUGAUGCAGCCAUGCCGCGUGUAUGAAGAAGGCCUUCGGGUUGUAAAGUACUUUCAGCGGGGAGGAAGGCAAUACGGUUAAUAACCGUGUUGAUUGACGUUACCCGCAGAAGAAGCACCGGCUAACUCCGUGCCAGCAGCCGCGGUAAUACGGAGGGUGCAAGCGUUAAUCGGAAUUACUGGGCGUAAAGCGCACGCAGGCGGUCUGUCAAGUCGGAUGUGAAAUCCCCGGGCUCAACCUGGGAACUGCAUUCGAAACUGGCAGGCUUGAGUCUUGUAGAGGGGGGUAGAAUUCCAGGUGUAGCGGUGAAAUGCGUAGAGAUCUGGAGGAAUACCGGUGGCGAAGGCGGCCCCCUGGACAAAGACUGACGCUCAGGUGCGAAAGCGUGGGGAGCAAACAGGAUUAGAUACCCGAGUAGUCC
rnacentral:rRNA from 1 species